GGGCUGGUAUUUGUGCAUGGAGUUCAGGAUGGUCUGGGGUGGGGGGAGAGAGAGCAGAGCCCGCGGUCAGCCCCACCGCCACCACCUCCCUGCAAAACCCUUCAUUUCUCCCCAGAAAGAAAGAAAAAAGAUAAAAAGAAACAUCCAAAUUCAUUGUGAGGAGAGAACAGAAGCAGCUGCCAGAGAGGGAGAUCUCUUUUUUCGAUGGUGCCGUGGCCCGAUCUGCCCCCAGAGAAGGAGGUCAGGGGGAAGGCACAGCAAGAAAGCAGCGCCCAGGAUCCCCCCGAUUUAUCACCGCUCUGACAACGCCAGGUGAUGCAGAUGUGAGCAAUAAGGAAAUAGAGGCGUUCGGGAGCCUUCCAGGCACAGCCGGUGUGGAGCGGCCGCUGCCAACCUCUUUGGCUCUGCUCCCACCGCGCAAACCCCGCGCAGGUGCCGCCUCCAGCCCCGCACCGCCCGGCCUGGACCGAGGGGACGUCCCGGGCCGUACCUGCCCGGUCACACUGCCACAGCCCGGCUGCACCGUCGGGGCCGUCCCCGCCGCCUCCCCGGCCCGGCCUCCCCCAGUUCGGCCCCGUUACGCCCCGGAGAGGAGCGGGGACCACGACACGACGCGACCCCGGGAGGGGGCCGCUAAAUCCCGGCCGCUGCCCCCGGGCGGACCCGGGCCGCUCUGCCCCGCGGUCACACUUACAAAGCCGUGUUUGUCCGAGAUGUUGUUGGUGAGCUUGAGUUUGUGAAAGGCAACGGGUUUGGCCAUCCACUGCUCGCCGGUGGCCGGGCUGUCGGGGUGGAUGUACAUGCGUUUGGGCAUCUCCGGGUCGGCCUUCCCGGCCACCAUCCAGCGGGAGUUGUGGAAUUUGUACCGGCAGUCGUCGGCCGCAACUAUAUCCAUGAGCAAAAUGUAUUUGGCCUUCUUGUCCAGGCCGCUCACCCGCACCUUGAACGGGGGGAACAUCCUCCUGCGGAGAGACGCGCAGCGCUGCAGGGAGCGACCCUCGACGGCCGCAGCCCCCCCCGGCCCGAGGGGUGCCCAGCGCUCGGGUAAAAAGCUCCGGGUCCCAUUGCGGGAAUGAAGGGGCAGAGAGAAAAACGCGGAUCCUUUUUUCACUGCGUUUCUUUAGGGUCCCCGUCCCGGAACCGGGGCCGGGGGUGGGGAAAAUUUGGCAGCGAGGAACGGCAGAGAGCGAUGUAAAUAAAUACGACGGCGCUCAAUGAGUGCGCACAGAUUUAA